rnacentral:lncRNA from 1 species
AGCCUAACAAAUAUCCAUUAAAUACAUCAACAUGUUGUGUUUGUCUCUUCAUCAUAAUAAAAAAGAGGUUAAAAAAAAAAUCUUCUUAAUAUUAUAUUUAUAUUUAUUACAAAAUUCUUCUAUCGAUUUAUAAUAUAUUACUUCUUACCACUUUAUUAUUUAUAAAGCUUGUGUUCUUCUUAACAUUAUAAAUAUUAAAAAAAUUCCAUUAAAUACAUUAAUGUGUUGUGUUUGUCUCUUCCAUUAAAUAUCAUUAUGUUUAUUUUCAUCUUCAUCUUUUCUGUUCAACUCACCAUGAGCUAAACCCCUCCUUGUGGUUUAUAAAUAGUGAGGUUAUGACGUUUAUUUACUUGUGAUAUAUAAAGUUGUAGUGCCAAACAUCUUUUUAACAAACUACUAUAACUCAAAAUCUUUAGAAAUAAAAAUUUGAUCACUUUUAUUUCUAAUGUUAUAGCUCCCUGAUCGUUAUUUCUAAGCGUUAUGUGUAAUGCCCACUUUUAAUUAAUUAAUUAUUUAAUCGAGUUUAGACGAUUAUAUUAUAUUUAUAUAAUAUAUGUGUGAAUUUUGUUGAUUUAUGACGAUUUAGAUGAUUUGGACGAUUUUGAUGUGUUUUGAUGAUUUGAUGAGAUUAUGAGACUUAUUUUAUUGUUAAAUAAAAUAAGAUUUGAAAAUAAAAUAAAAUAUUUAGUUGAGGGCUGUUUUGAGAUUUUAGAGAGUUUUGGGGGAGAAAGUGAGAUAAGAUAAGAUAUUGGGAAGAGAUAUAAAAAGGAAAACCUAGUCUUAGAAAAACACUUUGUACGUACGACUGUUUUUGGAAAAAGGAGGAAAAACCAAGAGAAGAGCAAGAGAGACCUAGGGGCUGCGAUUUCUUCACUUUAAGGUAAGGGUGUGACUAACUCUACAAUUUUGUUAAUCAUGUAAUCCUUCUGGUUGUAAUUAGCAAGAAUUAGGAUUGAAUUGGAGAAACCGAAAACUAGGUCAAAUUCUUAGAAAUAAUGAUUAAACGGUGAAAAUUGAGUGGAUUGCUGUAGAAACUGUCCUUUGACCUUAGAUUAUGUUUAGAAUGAAUUCUGGAAUUGAAAUUAGGCUUAGAACCAUGAGAUUAGAUGAAUUUUCGUAAAAAACUGCAUUCUGCCCGAGCCAACAUUCAUCGCUCGCCCUGGCGAACGAUGAUCCUCGCCUCGCGAGUGAUGAAGUUCAUCGCUCGCCACGCGAGCCAAUACCCCUCGCCUCGCGAGUUGCAAGUCGUAGCUCGCCACAACGAGCAACCUUACUCGCCAUAGCGAGCAUGACCAGAGAGCUUGUCGAAUUUUGUAAUUUUGACUUUUGAGUUGAACCUUAGAUGCUUUUGAGUGCCUUUAGUUGUGUAUUAAAGAUUAGAGGAUGACUUAGAACAAGAUUGAACCUGGAACAACCGUAGUUGGAAAUCUGGCAAGUACUCGCCAUGGCGAGCAGAUGCUCUCGCCUCGCGAGCACUUCCAGAACUAAGUACUUUUGAGAAUGUCGUGACCUGAGUUGAAUGAAUUGAGUAGGAAUGAAACUUUAGGUAGUAAUGUGACCUAUUUAAGAUGUUAACUGAGACCUGUGAAGCUAUUAUGAAUUGUUAAGCUGUUUGUAAUGUGAUUUAAUGAUUAAAUGCAUUCCUUGAUUUAUUCUUGAAUAACCUUGAUGUUGUUGAAAAUGAAUUGUUGUCAUGAAAUUAUAAUGCUGUUGUGAUCUGAUUAUGCUGCUAUUGUUAUUUAACUAAGUUGCAUGAGUCAUUAUAAGAUGAAUAAGAUGUUGUUGAGCUCCAAAUUAGUGGAUGCAUAUUGAGAUGUUGAUUAAGAUUGUUUUAGAUUGAUUGAGUCCAUGCAUUAACAUACUUUGUUGGGGGCUCAUGCCCUGGAGCUUUGUCCUCACCGCGAAUUGAGCUUUGUCCUCACCACGAUGCCUUAAAAGUAUAUCAAUAUUAUGAUGUUGGGGGCUCAUGCCCUGUAUUGGUACCACAUGCAUAUAAGAGGUUUAGAUUUGCAUUGUCGCAUUGUCGAGUCGAAAGAUGUUUUGUUAUUGAUGAUGAUUGAAUGAUGUGAUUACUUGAUAAUUGUUUAUCCAAAUAUGCAAAGAUGUUUAAGUUGUUAAUUAUAAUUGUUGAAUUAUAUUGAUUAAUAUUAUUGUUUUGUGAAAUCUCACCCCUUCUACUUGGAAAUGUUGCUCUUCGUAUGAGUAACUUGCAGGUGAUCGAGCUUAGUGUGCAGUUUGCUGUCGUGAGUGGCCUUGCCUCACUGAGUCGUCUAGGUCGCUCUGAUACGUAACGGGAUGGGGUCUAUGUUAUGCAUGCUUCUUUCCUUUACGUGUUCACUUAUGAUAUUUAUGAUGUUGAUUAACUUAUUGAGAUAUUUUGAUGGGGCCUACGUGCCAAAACGAUUUAUGGAUUUUCGAAAUUAACUCCGCUGCAAUGUUUAAGAUAUUUUCUUGAAAGUUAAAUUGUUAUUUAACUGUUUUGCGAUUAUGUUUGAAUGUGAUGUCCCGUUUAUGAUGUUUACUCUGAUAAUUGUUUUGAAAUUUUUAUCUUGGGAAAACGGGGUGUUACACUAUGUUCUUGGUAGGACUCUUGUCUUAGGCCAAGGAGGUCAUGUCCUGAAUACUCUUCGUGAGGAAAGGUUGAGCACCUAACCUAGUAAUUGUUAGGUGUUAAGUUCUAUGUAAUCGUACCAUGAAAGGUGUAACACGGUGGAUGAGGUAACACUCCCUAAGACCAAUUGUUUUCAAGGAAGCCGGAGUGAGAUAUAGCUCUAUGAACUCAACAACUUAAGAAGCUAUAAAUGGUUAUAGGUCAUAAAUACACAUGAGCCCUAGCAAGUUAUAACUUUGUAAAUCGCAAUAAUGUUUUGUUAUAACUGAACUUAGUUUAAACCACACUUUUCAUCUUGAGAAUUUGUAAAUCUUUUUAACUGUUUUCCAAAACAUAACCUUUUAUAUUUACUUUAUUUUCAGCCAAACAUCUUUCAAACAAACUGCUAUAAAUGUGUCAAAAUAUUUACUUUACUUUCA